AUUAAAAGUACAUAAUAGUUUUUAUGUAAAGGUGCUACAGAACACCAAGCAGAUGUUUAAGAAUUGAAAUUGUGUUAAUGCCAUUACUACAAGUUGUGUGAACAUGGUUGUAGCUCAUUGUUUUUAGCCCUUCUUGGGCAUUGCAGCAAGCCUAGUGUACAUCCUUGCCAUUGACUGGUAACCUCUGAUAUCACCGGAUCGAAGAAGAUUGCCUGAGUCACAGUUCAGAGGGCUAUCAGCUUCAGGAUGAGCCAUCAAAGCAAUUAUAGCUCGACAAACAGACUGAAGUGUCCAUGCAGGGCUCCAUGCAUUCUUCAAAAUAUCAAGGCAAAUCUCUCCAGUCUUAAAAUGAACAUUUGGGUGAAAUAUUUUGGUCAGGAACCGCACUUGAGGAGGUUGCAACGGAUACUGCUCUGGAACUGAGAAAGCUAGCUGGAAAACUCCACCAUCAUAAGGAGUUUCAGAUGGCCCUUUAACAAGAGCCGUCCAUUUAAAGAUAUUAGAGUCAUCACAAACUAAUUGAAUAUCA
rnacentral:misc_RNA from 1 species